ACUAUUCCAUGUUACUGCGCAUGUGCAGAUUGAUUCUUGAACAACACCUGAGGAAACAAACUUGGUAGCGUAGUUUGGAGAAAACUGAUACGGAGUUACCCCAGUGGACAGUGGAGUGGCAAGAGGAAGACAAGCACUUAAAAGAAUAAAGAAAUCAAAACUACAAAAGUACUUACAGCGAUGUGGGGCUCAAAGACAGAGUCGGACUCAUUCUCUUCCAGAACCAUGGCUGCCGGUGCUGCUGGAGACUUCCAAAAGCUUUGUAGUGCACAGGCUGCUUCUGUCCUACAGAGCCAAUAUUGGACGUCUACCAAGAAUGAACAAAGCAGCAUAGAUCACAACACUGUGUUCUUACUGUUUAUCUGUAUGCAUCUGAUUAUAGAGAGAUUCAUGUAUAGGAGCGCAAUUAGGCAUGAAUGAAGACUAGUUCAUUUCUCAACUGGUUUUGCUUGAAUUAUGACAAGGCCAUCACCACUUUUGUCAAACCAUUCAUUCAUUCAUUUUCUACCGCUUUU